rnacentral:misc_RNA from 1 species
UGUGGGAGCGAGCCUGCUCGCGAUGGCGUCGGGUCAGAGGCGUCAAUCUUGACUGGCACACCGCAAUCGCGAGCAGGCUCGCUCCCACA